UACGCCUAUUUCCACCUGUCACCUUUUAUAAAUUUGUCUGAUCUUCUUUUAACCCUUUUACUGCUAGACAAAUGUUCCCUUUUAACACCAAUAACUUUUCUAGGCACUUUCCUUCCUCUUCUGUUUUUUUUUUUUUUUAUUUAUUUAUUUAUUUUUUUUAGCGUAAACAAAAAAGAAAACAAAAACGAACUAUUGAUCCAUUUUCUCUGCUUUCCCCCCCUGCGUCUCCAUGCAAACAAUUUCUACAUGACUAUGAGAGUCAACAAAAGACUAUCAUACCAAUAGAUUGGGUAGUAAAAUUCCCCAAUGACUCAGCAUUAACAAUCUGAUUACUGAGUCAUUAUAUUCAUCCACCACUCUGUACGAGAACCAAGUCCCUCCUGUAGUCUCCAGCUGUUGCCUCACGGUGUCUUGUGAGGCUGGUGGCGAGAGACUCGUGUGAAUGGAGUAGUUAAUUGGAAGAGUGAAGUUGUAGGAGAGGAGGCAUAAGCUGUAGAUAAAUAGUGAAGGUCGUGUUAACGUGACAAAGGUGACGCUGCGCCAAGGAUAGAUAAGACAAAGAGGGUUUAUGAUAACUGUGCGGAGGUAUGGGUCGCCUGUGGUCGCAUAUCUGGUGCAGCGGCAGCGCGACCUCAGAGGGGGGCAGACUGGCCAGUCUUCAGAGAGAAAGGUGUUAUGAACCAAACCCUGAAUUUUCCAUAAAUCCUAGAUCCUCAAACGCUGACCUUCAUUAUCGAAGUAAGAGACAAGAAGAAGAAGAGAAGAAGAAGAAGAAGAAGAAGAAGAAGAAGAAAUAAUAGGCGAAAAAAGAACGUGAAAGAGAGAAAAAAGGACAGACACUUAGAGAACA